UAUCUCACUAAUUUAUUGCACUUCUUGUUUGUUGGUAAGGUGCUUUUAAUGCUUUAUCUGUACUUGUGUGGGGACUUGUUAUAAAUCAGUUUUCAACCUUAAAUCUCUCUCUGCCUAUAAGACCUUAAUGAAAAUGACUGAAUUUUCCUUGUAUUCAGUGAGCAGCGAGUUACCAAUACUGCCAUUUAAUUUUGUCUUCUGCUCUUGUGUCUGGUGUGUUAACUCUUGUAUAUGUUGCAGAGUGUGGCAUGGUGGAAAAGAACUGAGAGAAUUCUCCACUAAACAUUUGGGUUGGCAUUACUUUUCUUUUCUUUUUUUACUAAUUGCUUGCUUUGGUGUUUUUGUGUCUUUGUGAGGUGUCGGCCACACCCAUGGGAGUGGAGAUUCUACUCUAGUCCAGCUGCCAGCUAUUUGGAGUUGAGUACAGGGAGCAGAGGAAACUGGAAGGAAGGGGUGGUUGUUGUUUUGUUUUGUUUGUUUGUGGGACACUGUUGCAGCAGGGAAGCCAGUUGACCUUGGAGACUCCAGGAUGUAAAGUGCACAUUUUAAAUGACUUUUUUUAAAACCUGGUUUUGCUUUUAAAAGAAUCUAAUGAUGCUGGAGGGAGGACUCGUUUUAAUUAGGAUUCAUGUGGAUCUGCUGGGAUAAAAAGACUGGAUUAGAGACCGUCUGUGCCCAAGGAAAGGAAAUUGGUCAAGAUUUGGACAAGUUUGAAUUUGAGAGUGGAACCCCCAGGAUCUGGUGUAGAGAUCCAUCCUCCAACAAACGCCAGGCCUAAUAAAGUGGAUGGAAAGCGUUUCUCAGGAAGAUGCAGGAUUGAUAUGUUUUUGGCUACAUGUUCUUCUGAGUGACCACCUUUCUAUGUUUGUAACCAGGCUAACAAUCCUGACCCUGGUGGCUUUGGGCCUUGGAUUCCAGGCCAGACUUGUGUCCUCAGCCAGUAGUCUGACUUGGAGGAAGAAAACUAAAUCUUGUGUACCCCACUGCAGUGAUGGAUGGUGGUGAUGGAUGGUGGUGAUGGAUGGUGGUGAUGGAUGGUGGUGAUGGAUGGUGGUGGCAAAGCAGAAGAUUUACCUUGAGUGUCUUUAAAGUCUUGCUGCCCAAGGACAUGAGGCAACGAUUGUUGUCUUCCUUACCCACUAUGGCAAAUGAGCAAGUUAUCCUGAUUUGCCCGACGGUCAGGCCGAGCUCCUUGAUGUGACCAUCGAUGCAGAGCCUGCGCUGAAAUGGAAAGCCAUCGGUCUCCAUUUUGAUCUCUUCGACCAGUUCUUUUAAACUGAAAGGGAAACAAAAUAAGUCAACAGUUCUCACCUCAUGCUGCAGAAUCCAGAUUCAUCCAUGUUUGGUUCAUUGGUGAUUCUAAAUUGGCCCGAGGUGUAAUUGUGGAAGCAAAUUAAAUCGCUGUCUGUCUCUUUA